CCUACGGGUGGCAGCAGUGGGGAAUAUUGGACAAUGGGCGCAAGCCUGAUCCAGCCAUGCCGCGUGAGUGAUGAAGGCCUUAGGGUUGUAAAGCUCUUUUAUCCGGGACGAUAAUGACGGUACCGGAGGAAUAAGCCCCGGCUAACUUCGUGCCAGCAGCCGCGGUAAUACGAAGGGGGCUAGCGUUGCUCGGAAUCACUGGGCGUAAAGGGCGCGUAGGCGGCGUUUUAAGUCGGGGGUGAAAGCCUGUGGCUCAACCACAGAAUGGCCUUCGAUACUGGGACGCUUGAGUAUGGAAGAGGUGAGUGGAAUUCCGAGUGUAGAGGUGAAAUUCGUAGAUAUUCGGAGGAACACCAGUGGCGAAGGCGGCUCACUGGUCCAUUACUGACGCUGAGGUGCGAAAGCGUGGGGAGCAAACAGGAUUAGAUACCCUAGUAGUC
rnacentral:rRNA from 1 species